UCCCUCUCAGGGUCACACCUGGAGAGUUUCCAGUACUCUACCAGUCUUGACUAUGGGAGGGAGAGUCAAGCAGAGACCUGUCCAUUCCUAGCUUGGGCGGUGGCUAGCGAGCGGAAGGCAGUCUGCUCCAAGU